UGGCCGUGUGUUGACUGCAGCUCUAAUAAAACACCCAGUUAAACAGACGACAUUGCUGUAGCCUGUGUAGGGCAAGGGAGACUAUCUUGUUAGGUUUACGACAAGGGAGACGACUUGAUUAACCUGCAGCAUCUGUUUCAUCGUUACAGCAACAUGAUCAACAUAUCAAAGACCGUAAUGCUCCUCCUGGCACUAGUGUGCUGGUCAGCCCAGCAGCACGGUGUCAGCGGUCAGUUCCUCUUCAACACACUGACCAACUCCGCCUACUACUACCCCUACCCUUUCCAGUGCCAGACGGCUGUGAACCCGCUACUCACGAAGGACUGUCCGGGUGGCGCUUGCUAUCUGUCAACACUUAAAGGUCAAUGUUGUAUGGCCAGCUUUUUCACUAGUUCUAGAGUGUACUACCAACAAUGUAAGUGUAGUCUGAGCGUCACAUGUCCAGUACUCGUGGGCUAACAUGACGUCAUGAAACACUCAAUCAGCAGCAACUAACAAACGACCCAACAAACAACAGCAUAACUACAAAGGAAAAUCAAGUUUUGAUUGUGUUUUAAACAUUACAUUGUAUGCCGAAGCAUCUUUUUUUAAAAAUAAAUUGCAUGGUAAUCAA